GUACCUUGUAAUGGGCGCCCAGCUUUCACCUGCUACUUAUACUAAAAUUGGAAUGAUACAGAAAAAAUUAACAUGACCCUUGUGUAAGGAUGACACACAUAUUUGUAAAACAUUCCAUAUUUUA
ensembl:snRNA U6 U6 spliceosomal RNA